GGAGGUAGGACUCCUGGAGCACCCUGGGGGGAGGCAGAGACAGAGCGGCAGUGCAGGUUUGAAGAUUUCUCACUGCAGCUGUUCACAGCUCUGCUUGCAGCAGUUUCCACCACCUGGAUUAUCCCAAGCUCUUCCUCCUCUGGCAGACGGAAAUUGUGUAGAGAUUGUCACAGGAUCCUUUUCUGAGCAACGGAGGAGAAGGAAUCGCCUUGUGCAAUCACAAAAUGAGCGAGAUUUUACAGUCUCCUGACAGCUCUACCUACCUAAGUGCUGCGUGCGCACGUGAAAUAGCUAUCAUCAGAACUGCACCAGCAGCUAAGGAGUAAAAGGAAACCUUAACCAAAGCCCUGACAUCCCCCAAGGAUGUAUUUCACCAACGUGAUCCUGCCUCUGGAAAGUGGGCUGCAAGAUGCAAAUGACCUGAGGAAAUCUGCCUCCUGAUUGGCCAAAACUCCUCCCAGCCCACAGUCUGAAACCUGAGUCCCCAUCCAUAAAUACCCUCAAGUCAAACUGCCGCAUAAAACAUCUAAGAAAUGUUGCCUGCACAAAGCCACUUCCCCCCAAGAAGGGAAAUCUUCACAAAGUAGGGAAGGCAGAGGGGCAGUUUGGAACAGGCGAAAACCGUCUCCCAGCAGCCUCCCUUUAAUUAAAUGAUAGGAUAUUAAAUAAAUCUUUAGCACAAAAAUACUAAAACUCUGUGUACUCAGCAAACAAAAUGAGUCAGCAAAUUGUUUUUUCAAGCAUUUCAAGGUUACUGAAAUUGACCUAUUGUCCCAGCUAAUGCAUCUUUGGCUUCCUACAUGUUAAAAAGCUUUGGAAAAUUUAAAAGACAAUAUUCUAACUCUCAGAAGGCAGCACCAUCCUAACACCAAAGAGAGUUUUGAGAGGAGCUAUCAAGUGUGAGCUCAGAAGAGGGAAUGCCUGCAGAUCUGUUUAGAAGUGGAACAUAAAUUAUCUCAGUCACUCCCCGUGGGAACUGUGAAAAAUGGGUAUAAGAAUAUCCACUUCAGGGGUGCAGAAGGGAGGCUUAGAGAGGCAGUCAUUGGCCCCAGGAAUUCUGACCUGUCUCCUUACCAUCAGCUGCUUCUGCCAGGCCAGCUUUCACAGGUUAAGAGAGUGCAUAUUAAUGACAAAUAGAUUUUUCAUUAUCAUGGAAAAACCGACAUGACUGUCUCCACCUUUAGGAAAGAAUUAAGGAUGGCAGACCCCAAUACCAACUGCUGUUACUCCAUCCCACAUGUGGAAGGUGAGGCGGUGUACAGUGAGUGAGGCUGGGGAGCCCACACACUGGAAUCCAGCGGCACUGCCCCACACAGUGUUUCCCACACAGUGCAGCCAGGAGCAUGUUGCCAACACACUGUGCCAUUAAUUAUGGUAAGAAUGUUUCAAGCUGCACACAGCCGUUAUGAGUCAUUUUCUCAUUCUGCAAAUGAGAUUUAGACGAGUGCGAUGAUUCACUUAGGAUCAUGCAGUUAGAAUGUGAACCUAGGUCACCUUGCUUGAAAUCCAACAAUUUUUAAAGAAAAUAUUAAAAAUUUCUGGACACUAUAUUCAAAGUCUUUCCAGUUACAUCUGUUCUAACAGUGCAUUCAUAGACUCAUACUAUCUAAGAAUUUUUGGAAAA